rnacentral:rRNA from 1 species
AUUGAACGCUGGCGGCAGGCCUAACACAUGCAAGUCGAGCGGAUGAAGGGAGCUUGCUCCUGGAUUCAGCGGCGGACGGGUGAGUAAUGCCUAGGAAUCUGCCUGGUAGUGGGGGAUAACGUCCGGAAACGGGCGCUAAUACCGCAUACGUCCUGAGGGAGAAAGUGGGGGAUCUUCGGACCUCACGCUAUCAGAUGAGCCUAGGUCGGAUUAGCUAGUUGGCGGGGUAAAGGCCUACCAAGGCGACGAUCCGUAACUGGUCUGAGAGGAUGAUCAGUCACACUGGAACUGAGACACGGUCCAGACUCCUACGGGAGGCAGCAGUGGGGAAUAUUGGACAAUGGGCGAAAGCCUGAUCCAGCCAUGCCGCGUGUGUGAAGAAGGUCUUCGGAUUGUAAAGCACUUUAAGUUGGGAGGAAGGGCAGUAAGUUAAUACCUUGCUGUUUUGACGUUACCAACAGAAUAAGCACCGGCUAACUUCGUG